rnacentral:rRNA from 1 species
CAUGGCUCAGAUUGAACGCUGGCGGCAGGCCUAACACAUGCAAGUCGAACGGUAACAGGAAACAGCUUGCUGUUUCGCUGACGAGUGGCGGACGGGUGAGUAAUGUCUGGGAAACUGCCUGAUGGAGGGGGAUAACUACUGGAAACGGUAGCUAAUACCGCAUAACGUCGCAAGACCAAAGAGGGGGACCCUCGGGCCUCUUGCCAUCGGAUGUGCCCAGAUGGGAUUAGCUUGUUGGUGGGGUAACGGCUCACCAAGGCGACGAUCCCUAGCUGGUCUGAGAGGAUGACCAGCCACACUGGAACUGAGACACGGUCCAGACUCCUACGGGAGGCAGCAGUGGGGAAUAUUGCACAAUGGGCGCAAGCCUGAUGCAGCCAUGCCGCGUGUAUGAAGAAGGCCUUCGGGUUGUAAAGUACUUUCAGCGGGGAGGAAGGGAGUAAAGUUAAUACCUUUGCUCAUUGACGUUACCCGCAGAAGAAGCACCGGCUAACUCCGUGCCAGCAGCCGCGGUAAUACGGAGGGUGCAAGCGUUAAUCGGAAUUACUGGGCGUAAAGCGCACGCAGGCGGUUUGUUAAGUCAGAUGUGAAAUCCCCGGGCUCAACCUGGGAACUGCAUCUGAUACUGGCAAGCUUGAGUCUCGUAGAGGGGGGUAGAAUUCCAGGUGUAGCGGUGAGAUGCGUAGAGAUCUGGAGGAAUACCGGUGGCGAAGGCGGCCCCCUGGACGAAGACUGACGCUCAAGUGCGAAAGCGUGGGGAGCAAACAGGAUUAGAUACCCUGGUAGUCCACGCCCGUAAACGAUGUCAACUUGGAGGUUGUGCCCUUGAGGCGUGGCUUCCGGAGCUAACGCGUUAAGUCGACCGCCUGGGGAGUACGGCCGCAAGGUUAAAACUCAAAUGAAUUGACGGGGGCCCGCACAAGCGGUGGAGCAUGUGGUUUAAUUCGAUGCAACGCGAAGAACCUUACCUGGUCUUGACAUCCACGGAAGUUUUCAGAGAUGAGAAUGUGCCUUCGGGAACCGUGAGACAGGUGCUGCAUGGCUGUCGUCAGCUCGUGUUGUGAAAUGUUGGGUUAAGUCCCGCAACGAGCGCAACCCUUAUCCUUUGUUGCCAGCGGUCCGGCCGGGAACUCAAAGGAGACUGCCAGUGAUAAACUGGAGGAAGGUGGGGAUGACGUCAAGUCAUCAUGGCCCUUACGACCAGGGCUACACACGUGCUACAAUGGCGCAUACAAAGAGAAGCGACCUCGCGAGAGCAAGCGGACCUCAUAAAGUGCGUCGUAGUCCGGAUUGGAGUCUGCAACUCGACUCCAUGAAGUCGGAAUCGCUAGUAAUCGUGGAUCAGAAUGCCACGGUGAAUACGUUCCCGGGCCUUGUACACACCGCCCGUCACACCAUGGGAGUGGGUUGCAAAAGAAGUAGGUAGCUUAA